GUUUCCGUGGUGUAGUGGUUAGCAUGGUCGCCUCCUACGCGACAGACUCGGGUUCAAUCCCCGGUGGAAACA
rnacentral:tRNA from 1 species